rnacentral:rRNA from 1 species
CGACGCUGGCGGCGUGCCUAAUACAUGCAAGUAGAACGCUGAAGAGAGGAGCUUGCUCUUCUUGGAUGAGUUGCGAACGGGUGAGUAACGCGUAGGUAACCUGCCUUGUAGCGGGGGAUAACUAUUGGAAACGAUAGCUAAUACCGCAUAACAAUGGAUGACACAUGUCAUUUAUUUGAAAGGGGCAAUUGCUCCACUACAAGAUGGACCUGCGUUGUAUUAGCUAGUAGGUGAGGUAAUGGCUCACCUAGGCGACGAUACAUAGCCGACCUGAGAGGGUGAUCGGCCACACUGGGACUGAGACACGGCCCAGACUCCUACGGGAGGCAGCAGUAGGGAAUCUUCGGCAAUGGGGGCAACCCCGACCGAGCAACGCCGCGUGAGUGAAGAAGGUUUUCGGAUCGUAAAGCUCUGUUGUAAGUCAAGAACGGGUGUGAGAGUGGAAAGUUCACACUGUGACGGUAGCUUACCAGAAAGGGACGGCUAACUACGUG